rnacentral:rRNA from 1 species
UGCCAGCAGCCGCGGUAAUACGGAGGUGGCAAACGUUGCUCGGAAUCACUGGGCUUAAAGGGCGUGUAGGCGGCAGAUCAAGUCGGAUGUGAAAUCCCUCGGCUCAACCGAGGAACUGCAUACGAUACUGGUCAGCUAGAGUGCGAGAGGGGUGAGUGGAACUCCAGGUGUAGCGGUGAAAUGCGUAGAUAUCUGGAGGAACGCCGGUGGCGAAAGCGACUCACUGGCUCGCAACUGACGCUGAGGCGCGAAAGCUAGGGGAGCGAACGGGAUUAGAUA